UUAUUUGGCAAUAUCAUAGUUUUUUGUUAAAAUUCACUUAAAUUUUUUUAGCAAUAUUAGGAGGCCUCUUUAGAUUGAAUUAUGGAUUAAAAGGUGUUUCUGUAGCUGGAUGUCUUGGAGGAGUGCUUGGUCUUCUAGUUGGUGGAGUAAUUGUAACAAGUUUGUGGUUUACUGGUGGUACCAUAGAAGAUCUCCGUCAACUACAGCAUGAAUAUUAUUAUGAUUUUGUCACCAAAAACAGAAAAAUGACUAGUUGACAUGGUGGUUAAUAAAUAGUCCAUAGCUUAUUACAAAUGCUUGACACUAUGAAAAAACCAAUCUAGUUUUGUAGUCCAGGCACCACCAUAAGCUUC